rnacentral:rRNA from 1 species
CCAAUAGCGUAUAUUAAAGUUGUUGCAGUUAAAAAGCUCGUAGUUGAAUUUCGGGAUCAAUAUGCCGGUCAUGCCUUGGUAUGCACUGGUAUCUUUGAUUUCUCCCUUCUGACGAACUUUGAUGUCAUUAAUUUGGUGUCAUAGGGAAUCAGGACUGUUACUUUGAAAAAAUUAGAGUGUUUAAAGCAAGCUCACGCUUGAAUACAUUAGCAUGGAAUAA